CUGCCCUUCAAGUGGACCACAGCUUGAAAUAGGCACCAGAACAAGACAGCAGACCUUGUGCAAUGCACUCUCCCACGGGCCUCCCAUUCCAAUUUCCCCUUUUUAAGCCUUUCUCCCCAGCCUAAAGUUUUAAGAGGUUUCUGGAGGCGUAAGGUAAGCAGCCUGCUUCCCUGCUGCUAGCUUUGGAAACAAAGUAACUUUCCUUUCACUACAGACUUCCUCCUUGUUACUGACUUUGCAAGCUGAUUCUAUUUAUGUUUAAUGAACAAAAAAAUUAGUUUCAAUGAAAACUUUAUUUGAAAUGAUGAAUUCAAGCUAUUACCAGCCUCCCAAGUAAGAUGCCAGAGACUUCAAACACUGCUGUUGUUUCUCAAGGAAAAGAUCCAGUUAACAAGGAAUCAUUCUCUCUUCUUCAAUAGCUGCUUACGAAAUAAAAACAUCAGUAGGAGGGGAAGGAGGAAGGAAGGAGAAGAAAGAGGAAGAAUAGGAGGAGAAGAGGAAGAGAGGAAGAAGUGAACAGCCCUCCUGCAUUUUGCAUCAGGUAGAAAAGUCAGUUGAAUGUUGGGAAGAACACAAAUAACGGAGUCUUGCUCUAUUGCCAGGUUGGAGUGCAGUGGCGCGAUCUCAGCUCACUGCAACCUCCGCCUCCUGGAUUCAAGCAAUUCUCCUGCUUCAGCCUCCCGAGUAGCUGAGACUACAGGUGCGUGCCACCAUGCCCAGCUAAUUUUUGUAUUUUUAGUAGAGAUGGGAUUUCACCAUGGUGGCCAGGAUGGUCUCGACAUCUUGACCUCGUGAUCCACCUGCCUGGGCCUCCCAGAGUGCUGGGAUUACAGGCGUGAGCCACCACGCCAGGCCGACAGUACCUUACAAAACUAAACAUACUCUUACCACAUGUUUCAGCAAUUGCAGUCCUUGGUACUUACCCAAAGAGAUUGAAAACAAAGAUAUGUUCAACAAAAACUUGCACACAGAUGGUUAUAGCAGCUUUGUCCAUAAUUGCCAAGACUUGGAAGAUGACUUUUAAUAGCUAAAUGGAUAAAUAACCUGUGGUACAUUCAGACAACCAAAUAUUAUGCAGUGAUAAAUAGAAAUGAGCUAGCAGAGACAUGUAAAGACAUUGAGGAAACUUAGAUAUAAGUUGUUAAGUGAAAGAAGUCAAUCCAAAAAGGCUACAUACUUUAGGACCUCUGGGGGAAGGGAGGGAUGAAUAGGUGGAGCAGAGAGGAUUUUUUUGGGUGGUGAAAGUAUUCUGUAUGAUACUGUAAUGAUGGAUAUGUGUCAUUGUGUGUUUCUCAUAACCUAUAGAAUGUAAAAUACAAAGAGUGAUCCCUAAUGUAAACUACGGUCUUAAUAAUAGUGUAUUAGUAUUGGCUCAUCAAUUGUAACAAAUGUACCAGGAGAUGUUAAUAGUAGGGGAAAUUCCUGCAAGAAUUGCCCACUCCCACCCUCUCAUUUCACAGAUGAAGUCCCGUGACCCAGAAGUGCAAAGCCAUCUGUUGCCGCUCCCAUCCUAUUGGAGACAUAGCCCUGACUCUUCCUCUGAGUUGGGGUCCAGGGCUCUUUCUCUUCCUCUAAAUAGCCACCUCAGCAGAGCCUCCUGGCAAGUAGGAUUUAGUCUACACCAGGCUUCCUGCAUGCCACUAUUUACUUUCCUAAUGAAGACAGAAAACGAGGUGUGAAGGCAGCAGCAUGUUAGAUUUUUCAGUUCUAAUGGGAAGAAUAAAAAACUCACUAUGAUGCACUAAAGAGCCAUUAGUGAAAACAGUUUUAAGUCUCUACCUCAAUUCCCAAGAAAGCUGAUGGAGAAAAACGGCAGCUUCAACAUUUGCACUUUGACUUGCCUCUCUCCAUGGGAACUUCAGAUUUCCUUCCUACAGCUAACACAAUCCUAAAUUUCUAGUGUGGCUUUCAGGGAUUACCAAAGACAGAAUGUUGAAUGCAUUGUAUGGUUUCUGUCUUCAGUCAUAGGAACCAUUCUUUGCUCUAGGAGUAGCAAUGAGAUCCAAAUCCAGGAAAUAUGGCAAUAUCUUCGAUUUACAUCAUUAGCCCUCAGUAUUAUUUUUUUUUUUGAGACUAGAAGCAGAAGGCUGCUUCAUGCCUGGCUGCCUAUCAAAAGAAGCAAUUUUCAUAAAUCUAUAGCUCUGAACAAUGAAAACGGUUCCUUUUACCUCUGCUGAAUCAGUGUCUGGAGCAUCAGGGACAGGGGAAAAGUUCUAACAUUAGCUUUUUUCUUCUACCUGCUGCUAAUCAGAGUGCAAGCAUGAAGUUGUAUUCUUCUCAGGGCCAGUAAAGCAGGGAAAGAAAUCACUAGUGCUCCUCUCCAGUCUGAAGAUCAAAUAAACAGCCUUUUUUAUCAUCCAGCUGCUAGGGGUAUGGCUUGAGCUACAGACAGCUCAUUAGAAAGAACCACAAAGUUAGAAAUUUGGCCUUUGGGGGGAAAAUGUCAUUCUUCAAAUUCCCUGUCUUGUAUUCUUUAACUAAGUACAUAUCCUUUUUAGGGGCCAGAUGGGAUGGGGAGACCUGUUUUGAACCUUAAGACAAUAAUAAGAGCUUAGAUAUUUACUGAAGGAAUGAAAUGGUUUGUCUGAAAGUUGCCCAGUUUCACAACUGUUGUUCCAUAAAACCAAAGAGAACGAUGCUUGCCACGUGGGUAAAAGCUGACUUUAGUUGACGUCUCUUCCUUCAUUCUUUUUCAGCUCACACAUCCUCCCCAUUCUCUGAGUUCCCACAAAGACUGUUAUUGCUGGGGCUCAUAAAAUUAUACUCCAAAGUAUGAUGCUUUGGCAUCCAGAGUGCUUUGAACUAUAGGAGAUUGAAGGCCCCAGAAGCCAAGUUUCCCUCUGACCUCCUGCCUCCCUGUCUCCCACCCCCUACUUUUCCCCUGAAGUGAGUCCUGGAAACCAGAAUUCUUCUUGCCCAAAGCAAGCCGUGACACCCUGGAAAUAUCACUCUAACCUUCCUUGCCUUUCCGUGUGGCAGCUGGCCAUGAAGAAAUUCUCUGACCUACCUUGUUUGAUAGCAGAUCACAAGACCCUGGUUCCAGAGCGGUCCUGCUUUACACCGAAGGAAAGGAAUGUCAUACAGAAAGGCCAAGAAGAAUCUGAAGAGAUGUCCAAUCACCUUUUCACGUGGCUGCCCAUUCUUCAUUGAACCUAAGCAUUAAAAUAGACAGUUUCCCCUGGGUCUUUGGGUCUUCAUUUCUGAAGACUCCAUGUCAUGUAAAACUUUGAUUAAAUAAAUGUAUCAUGCAUUACUUUUGCUAACC
rnacentral:lncRNA from 1 species